rnacentral:rRNA from 1 species
CUUGACAUCCAGAGAACUUGGCAGAGAUGCCUUGGUGCCUUUCGGGAACUCUGAGACAGGUGCUGCAUGGCUGUCGUCAGCUCGUGUUGUGAAAUGUUGGGUUAACGUCCGCAACGAGCGCAACCCCUAUCCUUUGUUGCCAGCGAUUCGGUCGGGAACUCAAAGGAGACUGCCGGUGAUAAACCGGAGGAAGGUGGGGAUGACGUCAAGUCAUCAUGGCCCUUACGAGUAGGGCUACACACGUGCUACAAUGGCGUAUACAAAGAGAAGCGACCUCGCGAGAGCAAGCGGACCUCAUAAAGUACGUCGUAGUCCGGAUUGGAGUCUGCAACUCGACUCCAUGAAGUCGGAAUCGCUAGUAAUCGUAGAUCAGAAUGCUACGGUGAAUACGUUCCCGGGCCUUGUACACACCGCCCGUCACACCAUGGGAGUGGGUUGCAAAAGAAGUAGAUAGCUUAACCUUCGGGAGGGCGUUUACCACUUUGUGAUUCAUGACUGGGGUGAAGUCGUAACAAGGUAGGCGUAGCGAG